UUACCAAAUAUCGAAGCUAAUUUCGUAAUAUCCAAACGACCAAAGUUUUCAGAGGUUGAGGUGGUGGAGUAGUGACAUCGCUCCCGCCACGUAUCCCUGAGGUCUAGGAAUCAAUCUUCACGUAACUCAUUUAAGAGAUUUUCCUUAUCUCCGCCCUCCUCAAAUGAGCCCCUUUUUCUUACCACCUAUCUAUCUAUACCUAGAAUUUAAAAACACAACCCAUCUUGUGGAACAAUGCCACAUGUCAUCUCAUUUACCCUAUUCUUUUUAUCCCUCCUGACAUUUAAUAAAUAAAAAUAAAAACAAUGCCUUAAUUCAAUACAUAUACGAAGUAUAAGAAUGUUGUUUACUUCAUUUUCCCUUAAUUAUAUUUCUUUCAAUUUUAUUCAAUUUCCACCUCUUCUUCACCAUUAUAAGCUAUUUAUUUUCUAUUAAAUUAAAAAAAACAAAAAUUAUACUCCCUCCGUCCCAAUAUAUAGUUCAUGUUUGUGUUUUUCACGGUAUUUAAGAAAUGGGAGGAAAAAGUGGAUGAAGUACAUUAAAAAAAAGUAAAACGUACAAUUAUACACAAAAGUUAAAGAAGAGAUAGUGAAUGAAGUUCAUAAAAAAAAGGUGAAAAGUACAAUUAUAACAAAAGUUAAAGAAGAGAAAGCGAAUGAGGUUCAUAAAAAAAAGGUGAAAAGUACAAUUAUAGCAAAAGUUAGAAAGAGAAAGUGAAAAAAAAUACAAAGCAAGUGGAAAAUUCGAUUCAAGGGUAAUUUAAGAAUUAUAAUGAAUAAAGAAAAAAAAUAAGAGUAUUAUGAUCUUUAUAUACUAUUCAAAAUGAAAACAGAAACAGCAUUUUGGUUCUCCAAAAUAAGAACACUAUAACACGGGAAGAAGAGUGUAUUAUAUACAUAUGACCAACCUUGAAAAACGACCAAAGUUUUCACUACCAUCGAAUCGAAAGCACUGCAAUUCUCUCAAUUCACCAUUAUCCAAGACCCCACCAAUACAGUUCGCCGCCAACCACCACUUGAACUUGUAAAUUCGACUGCCUACCAUCACUAACCACCUAUUCAAAGCGCAAUUUCCAUUGCAAAUCAUUGCCAUAACCGUCAGACGAGUGUUGCAACUGAUUCUCCUGUGAAUUCAUUAAGUAGUGAUGACUUUUUGGCAAUUCUUGAUGCUGAGUUAGACUCUGCCUCCUCUGAUCAAUCCCCAGAUCAAGACAUUGAUGCUAAUGAAGAUAAUGACGUCGAGAUUGAAAGGAUCAAAAGGCGCAAAGUGUCGGAAAUCGAAAAUGGAGAGGAGGUGCAAAGUUCAAGUUCCUUUGUGGUGGCUGAAGAAGAGAUAGAUGAAGAUGUAAAAGAUUCAUGUCCACAUCCGGGUUUCCUGAGAGAUAUGUGCAUUUGUUGUGGAAAGAGAAUGGAGGACAGUGCUGGUGUUGCAUUCGGAUACAUUCACAAGGACUUGAGACUUGGUAGUGAUGAGAUCUCACGGUUACGCAAUGCUGAUGUGAGGGCUUUGCUUCGCGGUAAGAAACUGUAUUUAGUACUUGAUUUGGAUCAAACAUUGCUGAAUUCAACUCGAUUAGAAGAUAUAAAUGCAGAAGAGGAGUAUUUAAAGGGUCAGACAGACUCCUUUCAAGGUGAACUGGAUGCCUUUCGGCCAGAACCCUAGUAAUAGGGUACCCAAGACCCUUUACACGGGACUGAUUCAGUAUCGUGAGAUCGUAGAGGCUUACAUGCCCCAGCGCUGUCUUUGCCAGCUUGAAUUUGUCGAAGUUGUCCCUCCUUCGCCAGCAUGACCCAGUAAGGCGGUCCGAUCUGCGUCGUCGAAGGAGUACGUCGUCCAAUGGCCGGAAAGCAUGGUUGCCACGUGGGAGCAUUUUUCGAUGAUUGCCCGCCUAUGGACUGCGGAGCUGCAGCGGCCUCCAACUAGGGUGACUGACAUGUGUGACCAGCACUACAUGGAAUGGUACAGCUAGUAUUCGCAUCCGAGGUUGAUCAGAGACCUCCACCAUGACGACGACAUCGAUGAUGAUGUGCCACUGCCCACUGCCGUGGAUGCGAUAUGUCUCAUAGUAACAUUUAUUGUUGUAUUUUUUUUUUCUUUUUUUAUAUAUUACAUCGAUGUUGAAUUUUAUGUCUGCCUUUGUGUGUAGUGGAUGGAAAAGAUGAUGCAUCUGGGACAAAGACUCUUUCAGGAGAGGGACAACAUGACGACUGCAUCAGGAAGAGCUGUUAUUGAUGAUCUGGAACGGGCCCUUGAGCAGUGGCAAUGGGUGUCACAGAGGGAUUACUGAUCUGUAGACAGUUUAUUUAUAGAACAUUUUGUACAUUAUCAUAGUAGUUUGUAAUAUUUGACAAUAUCUUUUUAGUUUGUACCAUUUGACAUUAUUAUUUUAAGUUUUUAAAAUUUGACAUUAUCUUUUUAGUUUGUAA